ensembl:lncRNA DLGAP1-AS3 DLGAP1 antisense RNA 3
AGGCCAACAUCCAGAAGUUUUUCUUAGAUUUUCUUCUAGAAUUUUUAUUCUCUCAGGUCUAACAUGUAAGCCUUUAAGCCAUCUUGAGUUAAUUUUUGUAUACAGUGAGAAAUAGGGGUCUAGUUUUCAUUCUGCACAUGACUAUCCAAUUUUCUUAGCACCAUUUAUGGAAUAGGGUAUCCUUUCCCCAGUGUAUGUUUUUGUUUACUUUGUCAAAGAUCAGUUGUUUCUGGGUUUUGUUUUUUGUUCCAUUGAUCUAUUUUUAUGCUAGUAUCUUGCUAUUUUGGUUACUAUAGCCUUGUAGUAUAAUUUGAAGUCGGGUAAUAUGAUGCCUGUAGCUUUGUUCUUUUUGCUUAGUAUUGCUUUGGCAGUUUAGGCUCUUUUUUGAUUCUGUAUGAAUUUUCGGAUUAAAAAUAUGGAAUGCUUCAUGAAUUUGCAUGUCAUCCUUGUGCAGGGGCCAUGCUAAUCUUCUCUGUGUCAUUCCCAGUUUAGCAUAUGUGUUGCUGAAGUGAGUACUCCUCUUACUUUUUCAAGGCCUUCCAUUUCUACCUCUGAUAUGAUCUUUGAUGAUACUAUUCAGAUGUUGGCCAGAUUGUCUGAGAGCUACAGAGUUGACCUCCUUGUUUGUCCCUUUCAACUGCUCUUAGAUGUUAAGCCACUAGCUUAUGUAAGGGAACUAUACGAAAUAGGCAUUUAUACUUGCUAUGGUUUUUACUGUCGAGAUGUUGCCUGUCUCAGCAAAGAGUGCAGUGCCAUGUGGUAAAUUCCUCUCAGGUGUCAGUAUUAACAAAACUGUGUGCUUAACAGCUGCCUUUAAUCGUGCAGGUGCUAUUACUCUUGUAAGAUGAGUAUGUUUCCACUUCGAGCAGUGCGUGCUCCACCAGCUUGAAUACCAGGAAGGUUAUCAGGAAAAGCUAUGGCAAAAUCAUGAUGGUUUUAGUACUUUUCCAUUUUUAUCCUACUAUCAUUGUAUUUCCCUUGGAUGUUUAUUACACACACACACACACACACACACACACACACACACACACAUCAUCAUCAUCAUCAUCAUCAUCUCAUAAACCACUUUAAUCUCUCGUGGAAACAAAUUGUAGUAGAGGUAGCAAAUCUACAUCCAGAUACCUCUGUAUUAUGUAAAAUAUGUCAAUAUGCUUUUUCCCUCACUUGAUAUCAUCCAUUGACUGUGACAAUGGUUCUCAAACUCGAGUUUGCAUCAGAAUCAGCUGGAUGUCCCAACGCAUAGAUGCAUUCGAUAAAUGUUAGCCAAAUAAAUACAUGAAUGGGAAUUUUCCUGCUCGGUAAACAAGAUAUUUUCAUGGGAAAAGUGUGACAAUUUAUAAGUAAAAUGACUAUUUUUGUACUGGGAAUAACGCAUUGUUGGUGCCAGCACCGUACAGAGCAGAGCCACUGUGCUGAUGGGGAAGUAUUGGACCAGCAGUUAAUGAAGACUGCUAAAGCCUGCUUUGCUGUUUCAUCCGCAGCACACAGGCCGCAUCUGUCCUGGGGCUCAUUUGUCCUUCUUCAACCUCCUCCACAGUUAGAGGCUCCUGAACUACAAUGGCAACGAUUGAAGAAACUGUUGUUGAAAAGUCCACGCCAAAUUCUCGGUAUGUCACUGAAGACAAGGACAUUUUGGGUAGAACCAGGCUGCUAAUCCACUCUUGCCAGGAGGGAAGAUUUUUUCUCUUUCUGUAGUGAGCAACAACGCCACUCGAUGAAGAAACUGAGGUUCAUGGAAGUUAAAUAACUUGCCCACAGGGCACAACUAGUAGGCAGCUAAGCUAGGACUUCAACUGAGGUCUGUAAGACUUAAAGCACAUGCUAUUCCUGCUCCUCAAUAGCUUUCCUGCUAAGCACCAAGAGACGCUAGGCUGCCAGGAACAUCACAGCAGAGACCACCGUCAAUCAAUGCAUCUCCACCGUCUUUUAGACAUUCUUUUGAAGAAAGAUUUAGCUGCUAAAAGAAAAGAUGAAUAUACAAAAAGGAUAAUACUACCAUAUUUCAUCAUAUUGUCUCGUUUUAAUACAAGAAGACUCAUCCAGCUUAAACAUUUGAUGUUUAAGAAGCUAACCAGCAAGCUGCCCUCUGGGAAUGCAUACCAUCAGGUAUGGAUCAGUGGCCCUGAGAUCAUGUUCAUAACUCAGCAGCUUUGUACAAGCUGUCAAGACUCAGAACAUGGUACCCCAAAGUAUGGCACCUUGGUGUGCUGAGUACUGUGGACUGAAGGACAUCGGAAAUGUCUCAGAAGCUAUGUCUCUUUGACCUUCUCCCAGCCUCCUGUCUCCUACCUGUCUUUCUCCCUUGAAGUGAGUCAUGGCAACCAUAAUUCCUCUUUCCCAAGGUGUGUCACAGAAACUAGAACCCCUCUCCUCCAAGGGAAGCCGUGAAACCUAGAAAGGUCACUCUCUGCCUUCCCCCUUCUCCCUUGAAGACCCUCAUUCCAGAGGGGCCCUGCCCCAUAUUCAGGAGGGUUACACAAAGAGGUUAAGAAGAAUUUGAACAUUCAGGCCUUGCUGGGUUCCCUGCUCAGUCUAUCAGCAUUAGAUCACACCCUUUAGUCCAUCACAUUUCUACACCGCUGUCCAUUCUUCAUCAAAC